rnacentral:lncRNA from 1 species
UCUUUGUUUUACAGAAUGGCGAGGAGGAGCUUACUUCCUCCAUACCUGUCAUUAUAAGGGGUAAGUAUUAUGCAUUACCUGUGUAUACUAGGGUUAUCUUUGACCCCUGAACUUUGCCACUUGUGUGUUAUUACGGAGGCAGUUGUUCAAACAUUCACUACUCCCAUAGAGAAGUGAUCGGUGCUCCCAAGACACCUGCAGCCCCCAACGAGGCCAACUUGACCGUCAAAGUCCCAGAAGCCAGCGUUGGUCAGAAGAAUCUCAAUGAGAUACACAGGGAGCAGGUGAAGCCACAGAGGAAGAGGAAGAGGGGCUGUAGAGCGGGACAGCUCGAGAGACUCAAAAGACACAGAGGGAAAACAAGAGGGGCAUGGUCAAGAUUACUGGACUUCCUGAAAGCGGCUGCUCCGAGAUUGAUAUCGCAAAGCUGGCCCAGCCCUUCGGUACACCUGUCAAUCCUCCUCAUCACCAAGCC